GGGUUAGUAGGUUGGUCAUGCCUCUGGUAUGUACUGGUCUCACUGAUUCCUCCUUCCUUAUGAACCGUAAUGCCAUUAAUUUGGUGUUGCGGGAAAUUUGGACUGUUACUUUGAAAAAUUAGAGUGUUUAAAGCAAGCUAACGCUUGAAUACAUUAGCAUGGAAUAAUGAAAUAGGACGUUCGAUCUUAUUUUGUUGGUUUCUAGGACCACCGUAAUGAUUAAUA
rnacentral:rRNA from 1 species